rnacentral:rRNA from 1 species
UACAGAGGUCUCAAGCGUUGUUCGGAUUCAUUGGGCGUAAAGGGUGUGUAGGUGGCGCCGUAAGUCGGGUGUGAAAUUUCGGAGCUUAACUCCGAAACUGCAUUCGAUACUGCGGUGCUUGAGGACUGGAGAGGAGACUGGAAUUCAUGGUGUAGCAGUGAAAUGCGUAGAGAUCAUGAGGAAGACCAGUGGCGAAGGCGGGUCCCUGGGCCGAUACUGACGCUGAGGAGCGAAAGCGUGGGGAGCGAACAGG